AAAAAAGGUAAGCUACUAAGAGCGAAUGGUGGAUGCCUUGACUGGUAAAGGCGAUGAAGGACGUACUAGACUGCGAUAAGCUACGGGGAGCUGUCAAGAAGCUUUGAUCCGUAGAUUUCCGAAUGGGGCAACCCAAUGUAUAGAGAUAUACAUUACCUAUAUAGGAGCGAACGAGGGGAAUUGAAACAUCUUAGUACCCUCAGGAAAAGAAAUCAAUAGAGAUUGCGUCAGUAGCGGCGAGCGAAAGCGCAAGAGGGCAAACCCAGUGCUUGCACUGGGGGUUGUAGGACUGCAAUGUGCAAGAGGUAAGUUUAGCAGAACAUUCUGGAAAGUAUAACCAUAGAGGGUGAUAGUCCCGUAUGCGAAAAACAAACCUUAGCUAGCAGUAUCCUGAGUAGGGCGGGACACGAGAAAUCCUGUCUGAAGCUGGGUCGACCACGAUCCAACCCUAAAUACUAAUACCAGAUCGAUAGUGCACAAGUACCGUGAGGGAAAGGUGAAAAGAACUGAGGUGAUCAGAGUGAAAUAGAACCUGAAACCAUUUGCUUACAAUCAUUCAGAGCCCUAUGUAGCAAUACAGGGUGAUGGACUGCCUUUUGCAUAAUGAGCCUGCGAGUUGUGGUGUCUGGCAAGGUUAAGCAAACGCGAAGCCGUAGCGAAAGCGAGUCUGAAUAGGGCGCUUAGUCAGAUGCUGCAGACCCGAAACGAAGUGAUCUAUCCAUGAGCAAGUUGAAGCUAGUGUAAGAACUAGUGGAGGACUGAACCCAUAGGCGUUGAAAAGCCCCGGGAUGACUUGUGGAUAGGGGUGAAAGGCCAAUCAAACUUCGUGAUAGCUGGUUCUCUCCGAAAUAUAUUUAGGUAUAGCGUUGUGUCGUAAUAUAAGGGGGUAGAGCACUGAAUGGGCUAGGGCAUACACCAAUGUACCAAACCCUAUCAAACUCCGAAUACCUUAUAUGUAAUCACAGCAGUCAGGCGGCGAGUGAUAAAAUCCGUCGUCAAGAGGGAAACAACCCAGACUACCAGCUAAGGUCCCUAAAUCUUACUUAAGUGGAAAACGAUGUGAAGUUACUUAAACAACCAGGAGGUUGGCUUAGAAGCAGCCAUCCUUUAAAGAAAGCGUAAUAGCUCACUGGUCUAGUGAUUUUGCGCGGAAAAUAUAACGGGGCUAAAGUAAGUACCGAAGCUGUAGACUUGCACACAACUUAGAUUAUUUAAGUUUAGAAUAUGAGAAACUAAGUUAUAUGUUUAGUUAUAUUUUUACUGAUUUUUAUAGAGUAAAGAUAGAAAUAAAACUUAGUAAAAUCAGUAAAAAUAUUCUUAGACUAAAGUUAAGUAGUUUAAGUUGUGUGCAAGUGGUAGGAGAGCGUUCUAUUUGCGUCGAAGGUAUACCGGUAAGGAGUGCUGGAGCGAAUAGAAGUGAGCAUGCAGGCAUGAGUAGCGAUAAUUAAUGUGAGAAUCAUUAACGCCGUAAACCCAAGGUUUCCUACGCGAUGCUCGUCAUCGUAGGGUUAGUCGGGUCCUAAGUCGAGUCCGAAAGGGGUAGACGAUGGCAAAUUGGUUAAUAUUCCAAUACCAACAUUAGUGUGCGAUGGAAGGACGCUUAGGGCUAAGGGGGCUAGCGGAUGGAAGUGCUAGUCUAAGGUCGUAGGAGGUUGUACAGGCAAAUCCGUAUAACAAUACUCCGAGAACUGAAAGGCUUUUUGAAGUCUUCGGAUGGAUAGAAGAACCCCUGAUGCCGUCGAGCCAAGAAAAGUUUCUAAGUUUAGCUAAUGUUGCCCGUACCGUAAACCGACACAGGUGGGUGGGAUGAGUAUUCUAAGGCGCGUGGAAGAACUCUCUUUAAGGAACUCUGCAAAAUAGCACCGUAUCUUCGGUAUAAGGUGUGGUUAGCUUUGUAUUAGGAUUUACUCCGAAAGCAAGGAAACUUACAACAAAGAGUCCCUCCCGACUGUUUACCAAAAACACAGCACUCUGCUAACUCGUAAGAGGAUGUAUAGGGUGUGACGCCUGCCCGGUGCUCGAAGGUUAAUUGAUGGGGUUAGCAUUAGCGAAGCUCUUGAUCGAAGCCCGAGUAAACGGCGGCCGUAACUAUAACGGUCCUAAGGUAGCGAAAUUCCUUGUCGGUUAAAUACCGACCUGCAUGAAUGGCGUAACGAGAUGGGAGCUGUCUCAAAGAGGGAUCCAGUGAAAUUGUAGUGGAGGUGAAAAUUCCUCCUACCCGCGGCAAGACGGAAAGACCCCGUGGACCUUUACUACAGCUUGACACUGCUACUUGGAUAAGAAUGUGCAGGAUAGGUGGGAGGCUUUGAGUAUAUGACGCCAGUUGUAUAUGAGCCAUUGUUGAGAUACCACUCUUUCUUAUUUGGGUAGCUAACCAGCUUGAGUUAUCCUCAAGUGGGACAAUGUCUGGUGGGUAGUUUGACUGGGGCGGUCGCCUCCCAAAUAAUAACGGAGGCUUACAAAGGUUGGCUCAGAACGGUUGGAAAUCGUUCGUAGAGUAUAAAGGUAUAAGCCAGCUUAACUGCAAGACAUACAAGUCAAGCAGAGACGAAAGUCGGUCUUAGUGAUCCGGUGGUUCUGUGUGGAAGGGCCAUCGCUCAAAGGAUAAAAGGUACCCCGGGGAUAACAGGCUGAUCUCCCCCAAGAGCUCACAUCGACGGGGAGGUUUGGCACCUCGAUGUCGGCUCAUCGCAUCCUGGGGCUGGAGCAGGUCCCAAGGGUAUGGCUGUUCGCCAUUUAAAGCGGUACGCGAGCUGGGUUCAGAACGUCGUGAGACAGUUCGGUCCCUAUCUGCCGUGGGCGUAAGAAGAUUGAAGAGAUUUGACCCUAGUACGAGAGGACCGGGUUGAACAAACCACUGGUGUAGCUGUUGUUCUGCCAAGAGCAUCGCAGCGUAGCUAAGUUUGGAAAGGAUAAACGCUGAAAGCAUCUAAGCGUGAAGCCAACUCUAAGAUGAAUCUUCUCUAAGCUCUCUAGAAGACUACUAGUUUGAUAGGCUGGGUGUGUAAUGGAUGAAAGUCCUUUAGCUGACCAGUACUAAUAGAGCGUUUGGCUUAUCUUUAAUAAAGCAU
rnacentral:rRNA from 1 species